AUGUACCACUCGUACACUCCGGUUCCUGCGCGCCGUCCGCGCCCACCUGACAGCUGCUCGCUACGUCUUGUUAGCC
rnacentral:sRNA from 21 species